rnacentral:rRNA from 1 species
ACGGAAGGCAGCAGUAAGGGAUAUUGGGCAAUGGGGGGAACCCUGACCUAGCCAUGCCGCGUGAGGGAAUGAGGCCCUACGGGUCGUGAACCUCUUUUGCCCGGGGAUAGCCCCCCCCGCGAGACGGGGGGCCGAAGGUACCGGGCGAAUAAGCAUCGGCUAACUCCGUGCCAGCAGCCGCGGUAAUACGGAGGAUGCGAGCGUUAUCCGGAUUCAUUGGGUUUAAAGGGUGCGCAGGCGGCGGGUUAAGUCAGCGGUGAAAUGCAGGGGCCCAACCCCGGCAGUGCCGUUGAUACUGGCUCGCUGGAAUGCGGUCGAGGCGGGCGGAAUGUGGCGUGUAGCGGUGAAAUGCAUAGAUAUGCCACAGAACUCCGACAGCGAAGGCAGCCCGCCAGGCCUGCAUUGACGCUCAGGCACGAAAGCGUGGGGAUCGAACAGGAUUAGAUACCCUGGUA